AGGACGAACGCUGGCGGCGCGCCUAACACAUGCAAGUCGAACGAGAGAUGAGGAGCUUGCUCUUCAAAUCGAGUGGCGAACGGGUGAGUAACGCGUGAGGAACCUGCCUCAAAGAGGGGGACAACAGUUGGAAACGACUGCUAAUACCGCAUAAGCCCACGGCUCGGCAUCGAGCAGAGGGAAAAGGAGCGAUCCGCUUUGAGAUGGCCUCGCGUCCGAUUAGCUAGUUGGUGAGGUAACGGCCCACCAAGGCGACGAUCGGUAGCCGGACUGAGAGGUUGAACGGCCACAUUGGGACUGAGACACGGCCCAGACUCCUACGGGAGGCAGCAGUGGGGAAUAUUGCACAAUGGGGGAAACCCUGAUGCAGCGACGCCGCGUGGAGGAAGAAGGUCUUCGGAUUGUAAACUCCUGUUGUUGAGGAAGAUAAUGACGGUACUCAACAAGGAAGUGACGGCUAACUACGUG
rnacentral:rRNA from 1 species